GACGAACGCUGGCGGCGUGCUUAACACAUGCAAGUCGAACGGAAAGGCCCUGCUUGCAGGGUACUCGAGUGGCGAACGGGUGAGUAACACGUGGGUGAUCUGCCCUGCACUUCGGGAUAAGCUUGGGAAACUGGGUCUAAUACCGGAUAGGAGCCAUCUUUAGUGUGGUGGUUGGAAAGUUUUUUCGGUGUAGGAUGAGCUCGCGGCCUAUCAGCUUGUUGGUGGGGUAAUGGCCUACCAAGGCGGCGACGGGUAGCCGGCCUGAGAGGGUGUACGGCCACAUUGGGACUGAGAUACGGCCCAGACUCCUACGGGAGGCAGCAGUGGGGAAUAUUGCACAAUGGGCGCAAGCCUGGUGCAGCGACGCCGCGUGGGGGAUGAAGGCCUUCGGGUUGUAAACUCCUUUCGCUAGGGAAGAAGCUUUUUUGUGACGGUACCUAGAUAAGAAGCACCGGCUAACUACGUG
rnacentral:rRNA from 1 species